rnacentral:rRNA from 2 species
UACGUAGGACCCGAGCGUUGUCCGGAUUCACUGGGUAUAAAGGGUGCGUAGGCGGCCUUGUGCGUCAGAGGUGAAAUAUCCGGGCUUAACCCGGAGGGUGCCUUUGAUACGGCAGGGCUUGAGUCCGAGAGAGGGUGAUGGAAUUCCUGGUGUAGCGGUGAAAUGCGUAGAUAUCAGGAGGAACACCGGUGGCGAAGGCGGUCACCUGGCUCGGAACUGACGCUGAGGCACGAAAGCGCGGGGAUCAAACAGG